rnacentral:lncRNA from 1 species
AUGCAUCGCAAAGAAAUAUAUUACAACAAUUUACAUGUCUCAAACAUUGUUCAAAACACCAAAUGUUACAUAGUAUCAUUACAAUAAAGUUUAAUCUUCCUUAAGUAUUUUCUCUGCGGCUUCAUUCAGCAGCUUGUCGACGACUUUGUCGAUGAUGGAGUUAGCAAUGCUCAUUAUGUCCAGUGCUUCUUUCAUGACCGGAUCAGCUAGGGGGUUAUAUGUAACACACCACUGGUCACACACAAUGGAUAUCACCAAAAACCCCACCCACCUAACUUUCUCCACACAAGAGGCGUAAUAAAGAAAGAAAACAUAGCAAAAUUCGGCAGCACCUCCUUUGAAACUAACAUAACAAGGAGGGAAAAACAUAAAGUUCAUACAUGAUAUAAAGACAUAUGAUUCACAUAGUAGAAACUAGAUGCAAAGUGGUAAAGCUCAUUUAUGCCCCAACUGAAGUAAAACAAAUGGGAUAAGAAACUCAGCCCACCCCAAAAUAAACGCUCAACCAAGAACAAAGCAAUUCACUAGACUUGUCCGACUCUGAUUAACAACAUUAUUAAAUGGUGGUUCCUUUAUUAAAGGUGUAGUGGUCGUGCUGCUACAUCCCUCUAUUCCCAAAGCAGAAAUUAGGUGCCUGCAUCAAACAAUGCAAGAUGUGAGAUAACACAUCUCACCAAGUAAACAUAACAACAACAAAUAGGACAUUGUAAAUCAACUGUGCUUACACAACCACGUGUUCAGAACCUCUUUCUUUUCUUUUGAAUAGUAAAUUGCAGCAAGUAAACAAGUAACUAAAAACUCAACGCCAAGUAGAAUCACCAUGCACAAGUCCAAAUUAUCCACAUCCCCAUAAUAAAUUCCACACCUCUCCCACGAAUGCACAUGGCUACAAAUGCAAUAAUGACUUCUGCCUCCAUAUCUCUAAGGAUAUGAAGCUGCACCAUACCCCUUCUCGGGCAACAUAUGAUGCUCAAUGUACCGGUACGGUCGGACCAUAAGAUCGCGACGAAACUUCAAUGCAAUGGAUGAUGAGUGCAUUAUGCAUGACAACAUCAUGAGUUCUUCCCAAAUAAAAAUGUGCUAGACAUUUACUUCCACCCAUUCCACAUAAUAACCACUUGAGUAACAAAAUCAAACCUCAAACUCAACAUAUGAAAUCCAUGAAACAUGAACAUUUUCAAAUGAUGGUACUCAAAAGGAAAUAUGAAUAUGAACACAAUAGCACAACAUAAUCAAGUAUAAGACUCCUCAUCUGACAGACGGAAUAACCAUCACAGUUUUACUUGCCUUCACCGGAAGUUUGGGCAAAUCCCUAAGAAAGAUCUGGGAGUCCACCACCUGUUUUUGACACCCAACUUAGUGCACCAAAUUCACAUAAAAAAACUCAAAACAACGCCGCACCUACGCGCAAUCUCAAACCCCGCCGCGGGUAACAAUUCUCCCCACACCAACCAAACUGCAGCGGCGCUGCUUAACAAUUCCAUAACUUUAAAAUUAAGACAACAGUGGUGUCAAACAAAAACUCCAGAGACAACUACAUAAAAUUCCCCACAAGUUUUGUAUACAAUUUUUGAUUAAAUUCUAACAUCUAAUUACCCCUAAACGGUCCACAAAAUAAACCCUGCAAUCUGUUUUUCCUGUUUUGGGCAGCGACAUACUCGGAUUCAAACAGCGAUAACUUUUAAAAUAUAAUUCCGAAUCAAGCGCAUAAGUACUUGUUGGAAAGAUAAGAAAGAGCCCUUCAUGAUUCUUAUACUGAUUAACCCUAAUUACUCCCGAAAAAUCCCCAGAAACUGCUAAUACUGCGGCUGUUCACCCCCCUGAAAAAUCUGUUUUUUUGGACAGCCACAUACCCGGAUUCAAACGGUGAUAACUUUCAAUUUAUAACUCCAAAUUGAGCGCAUAAAUACUCGUUGGAAAGGUAAGACAAAGUUCUACAUGAUCCCUAAACUGAUUUCCAUUAAUUUCUUACGAAAAAACAUAGAAACCGCUAGAACUACUGCUGUUCAUCCACCACCUAAAAUUCUGGACAGCCCCCUCUACCCAAUCGCAAACGCAACCUCUAAUCAAUUGAAUUGCAGCGCAAAUGAACAAGGGAUGAACACAAAAAUCACCUUGGAUUCUCCCCCUUUCCUUCCUCCCUUCAUCCCUCCACCAAAACGAUUGAAGACUCGCACCACGACGAUGAUCCGAGCGGCAAGGAUUGGCACCUUGGGAGGAGGAGAUUGGGGGGGGGGGGCGGCUAGGGUUUGGUGGUGUGGCUGCAAGAAUUGAGAGAGGAGGAGAUGGGCAGGGGGACGGUGGCCAAGGGGGGG